UAAGCUGCUCUAGUAGGAGAUUGAAGGGAAGGCUGGAGAUGGUCUGGGCAGCACUGAGAGAGGUAAGGGGAAAAGCCAAGGUGGCUAGAGAAGCUGCUUUCAUGAGCCUUUGUGGAGGCUUGGGCCUGAUACUGAAUCCAAACUGGGAAGGUUGAGAGACCCCGACUCACUCAGGGGAAUCUGGGACAGUGGCUAGACUGAAGCCAGCCUGGCUCGGCAGUGCUGCAACAAGGCCUCUUUGCUUUCCUUAAGAACAUGCUGCCACCCACAUGGAAAGCAUCAGAGAAGAGUAAACCAGAAAUAAAACCAUUCCAGGGGGAUGGAGA